ACCCUGGUUUGAAAUGCCAUCCAGACAUAUUAGAAGCUUGAUGUAAAGCAUCCCUCCAUUUCUGAACCUUUUUCUUCUCGCCUCUAAACCUCACCUCAUGUUUUGCAAAAGCUUCACCAUAAGUACCAGUUAUGUUUCUAAUAUGAGAUGGAUCCACAUCAUAAAAAACCGGCAAAAAUAACCUUCCCUGUGACUUGGAACACUCAAGGAUGGUAACAAGUUCAGUCAAACAAAACGUUGAAGAUGCAUAGUUAGGGGAGAAAAUAGCAAUGAAAAUCCUAGACUCUUUAAUGGCUUGAAGAAGAGUAGGUGUGAUUUGUUCUCCUUUCUGAAUUUGUUCAUCAUCAAUGAAAGUUUGUAUACCUCUUUGAUGCUGAAGAUAAUUGUAGAGAUUACCAGUGAAAUUGUUUCUAGUAUUUAUGCCUCUAAAGCUGAGAAAAACAUCAUAAGUCCAAUCACAUGUGAAAGAAGACAAAGAAGAAGAAGAAAUCAACAAGCAGUUGUGGGAUGGCAUAAAGGAAAUUAUAGAGAAAUGAAGAGGAAGCUUCCUUGUGGAAAAUAAUGUGGUAUUGGCUUGGAACCUGAGACUCUGAGAGUGUGUUUCUCCUUAAGCUUUCAAGUUCGAUUCUCUCUAGUGUUAAUUUGGGUGGGUUAAUUUAGCUUUUUAAAAAAAUUAAUAUUAAGUAUUAGGUUAUUAGUACGUAUUAUAUUAUUGUGGAUUGUAUUUCUUUUUGUUGGUUACCACCACAAAGCAUUUUGCAGCAAUCCGACCUGCCUCUGUGUAUUCAUUUUCGUCGUUGCAAACAUCCCGCCAACUGUUUGAUGAAAAACCACAGUGACACAACUCUGUUUGGGUACCUAUCUCUACUGCUAGUGCUGCUAUUCUAUUCCGGAUUUCAAAGCCUACUAAUGCUUAUGUUUAAGGUACAAUGUUUGGGUUGGGAACCUUAUUUGCUGAGUUGACUAUUGAUAUUACAAUGGUAGGAGUUGGCGAGUUGCUAUUGGCCAAAGUUUGUAGGAAGUUGAUUAUGCAGUAUUCUUUAGGGAUGGAGAGCACUUCCAAAAGGUUUAUGUUCUCAUCAUUUGUCCUCCUCAUGACCCUUGGUAUGUAUUUAUGUGAAUUCUAUUUUAGAUUUUCUUGAUAAUUGGGUCUAUGAGAGUUCUGAUUUAGUGUCUUUUACUUGGUUCAAUCUUGUGCAUAGUGAAAUUCAGUCUUCUAAAAAUUAUGGUUGUAAGAGCCACAAUCAUGGAUUUGGUCUAUGUUGUCAUAGUUGGAUUAAUUUUGAUGUGGUAAGACUUUUUGUGACUUUUGACAAGUCUGCAAUUUUUUGGAUACCAUUGAAUUCUAUUUCACAUGACAACAUUUAAGUUGAAUCUAUGUAUAGCCAAUUACAUGUAGAACCGAUGAGAGGCUAUUAUUUUGAAGCUACUUAUCAUAGGAACAAUUCUGACAUUGAUAAAAAAGGAUCUUCACAGUUGAAUUGUGUCAGUUUCCUAGUUCUAUCUUGUUCUUUGCAAAUCAAGAGGAUGGUCAAAUCUAUCUUGUACAAAAUCAUGUUUAUGAGAGUUGAAGUUUUGAAUGCUCUUUGACUAGAGUAUCAACUCAUCAAAUUGUGAAGGUAGCUCAACAUUCUCGCAGUGAAGGGUUGAUAGAUGCAUCACAUAUUAAGCUCAUUUUUGAGUUGAUGCUUUUAUCUUUGAGAUGUUGUGCUUUGAUUUUGGAAUCACAAGGGCUAUCUCCAACAAAGUCAUUCAAUCAGGUUGUUUCACAGCUACAAAU